CUUCUUUUGCAACCCACUCCCAUGGUGUGACGGGCGGUGUGUACAAGGCCCGGGAACGUAUUCACCGUGGCAUUCUGAUCCACGAUUACUAGCGAUUCCGACUUCAUGGAGUCGAGUUGCAGACUCCAAUCCGGACUACGACGCACUUUAUGAGGUCCGCUUGCUCUCGCGAGGUCGCUUCUCUUUGUAUGCGCCAUUGUAGCACGUGUGUAGCCCUGGUCGUAAGGGCCAUGAUGACUUGACGUCAUCCCCACCUUCCUCCAGUUUAUCACUGGCAGUCUCCUUUGAGUUCCCGGCCGGACCGCUGGCAACAAAGGAUAAGGGUUGCGCUCGUUGCGGGACUUAACCCAACAUUUCACAACACGAGCUGACGACAGCCAUGCAGCACCUGUCUCACAGUUCCCGAAGGCACCAAUCCAUCUCUGGAAAGUUCUGUGGAUGUCAAGACCAGGUAAGGUUCUUCGCGUUGCAUCGAAUUAAACCACAUGCUCCACCGCUUGUGCGGGCCCCCGUCAAUUCAUUUGAGUUUUAACCUUGCGGCCGUACUCCCCAGGCGGUCGACUUAACGCGUUAGCUCCGGAAGCCACGCCUCAAGGGCACAACCUCCAAGUCGACNNNGUUUACGGCGUGGACUACCAGGGUAUCUAAUCCUGUUU
rnacentral:rRNA from 1 species